AUGGAGGAGCCAGAUUACUACUGCUUCCAAGUGUUUUCUCUAUGGCUUCGACGCGUCCGAGAAAGUCUGGAGGAGAUCUGGGAAGGGAAGAGGAGCCGGGUGCUGGCAGACCAGUCUAGACUUCUCGAGAGACUGACCCAGUUCCUCUGGAACAAUGCAGAGAGCCCGGUAAUGGUACCUUUUUCAUUUCACCUGGGCCUUCUUGUAUCUUGCCAAAGCUGCACUUGCAGAGGAGGCUUAAUGUUAAUUUUUAAGAAAACCAAACGCCUAUAUUUAACAAAAACAACCUUGUGCAACAGCAAGAGCUAAGCAGACCAAAAAUCAAGGGUACCACUUAGAUCAGAGGGUAUUCAAUAAGGGGCCCUCCAGAUGUUGUUGGACUGUAGCAGGGUGGAUUUGAUUUAAAUCAAAUAGAUUUAAAUCACUAUUUGAAUCAUGAUUUAAAUCACGAGUCAGUAAGACUUGAUUUAAAUCAUUUUCCCCCAGAGAUACUCAUUCUUGCUGGUAUAAUUUAAUAUUUACAACCAGAUAAAGGUUUCAUUUUUGGAAUAAUAAAUUUUCAGAGUAGUUUUUACAGUUAGAUCAAAACUACUGAUUUGGUUAUACUAUUAGAAAUACAUAGACAGAUAAUUACGAAAUUAUUGUGAGGUUUAGGAAGUUAACUGUUUAUAUUUGGACAACUUUUCUGCUGUACUUUAAUGGAAGGAGAAAAAUAACCAUGUCCUUAAUAAGAAUUUGAACAAUUAAUGUAACUAGAAUAACAACAUUACAGCAUAUGUAUCCAUGUUUGUUAACUGAUGUGGUUAAACAAUUUUUAAAAAAAACAAACAAACCUCAGACUGAGUUUUAGCACACAUGAAAAACUUAAAACAAAUCCUUCUUUCCUGAUGAAUAGCCUUUGGACUAUAUUGUAACUUAAAUAGAAAACUAUAGAAUGAUUUUUCCUCCAAAAGCAUUUUAUUUUAAAAAUCCAAUUUAAAUUUUUAAAAAUCUGAUAAAAAAACUUAUUUAAAUCAAAAAAAUCUGAUUUAAAUUUUUAAAAAUCUAAGUAAAAUUUUUUUUAAUUUUUAAUUUUUUAAAUAAAAAAAAAUCAUUGAUUUUUAUCCACCCUGGACUGCAGCAGGGGAUAGCUCAGUCAAUAGAGCACACAAGACUCUUAAUCUCAGACUGUUAGAAAGUUGUGGCUUUGAGCCCCACUUUGGGCAGAAAGAUUCCUGCAUUGCAGGGGGUUGGACUAGAUGACCCUCGUGGUCCCUUCCAACCCUACGAUUCUAUGAUUCGUACAUAAUAAUGUUACUUUCCCACCCCUCCUCUGCCCACACUGUUCAGGUGGAACGGGUGUCUGAUUUCAUCCACAGCUCCUUCCAGCUCCUCCUGGAGAUCUACAGCUUAGAGUGUGAUCGCUUUGAGGACCUGGAGAGACCCCUCUAUGGUCAGUUCCUCCAGAGAGUCACCCUGAUGCCCUGGCAGGCCAGAGCCCGGUAUUUUCCUCUCAUUUCGGUUCUGCCCUACCUGGGUCCUGAAAAGGUAAGGGGACGACGGCGUUGGUGUGUGAGUGCGGAGCUCAGCCCAUAAUACUCUGAAAACAGAAAGGGUCAGGUAGCUGGAGAUGGAAAUUGCCCUCUUUGUUAAUUUCUUAAAAACAAAACCCACCAAAACCUUUCUCUUUUUUACUGCUUUUGUACGUGCCAUAAUACGAGCCGAUUUCACCUCUGUGUGUGUGUGUUUUUUAAUUAUUUUUAUUAAGAUUUAAGAACACCAACACCACCACCACCAACCAACAAAAACAUCACAUCUUAUUACAUAUAUCCCAUUUUAUGCUCCAUAGAGCUGUUGACUUCCGUCCUUCCCUUCCGCAAGUUUUCUUAUUCCCAUCUUUAGUUCACAGUUUCAUUGAUUAAACAUUACACCAUGACAUAAGAUUUAAUUCAAUCCUGCCAACGUUUUCAUAUUUCUACAGUUCUCACUUAUAUAUACCAUAAAUUUACUCCAUUAUUUUUGGUACUUCGUCUCCUCCUGAUUGCGAAUUCUGUGUGUCAAUUUUGCCAUUUCAGCGUAUUCGACCAGCUUUAUCUGCCAUUCCCUUACAGUCGGAAUUUCCUGUAACUUCCACUUCUGGGCUAUCAAAACUCUGGCUGCUGUUGUUGCAUACAGAUAUAAUCUUUGAUCUGACUUCUUAAUAUCUUCCCCCACCAAACCUAGCAAAAAUUCUUCCGGCUUUUUUGGAAAAGUGUAUUUAAACAUCUUUACCUGUGUGUUUCUAUGCACCAGUGCUAUAACAGAUUAUACAGUCAUACCUUGAUUUUCAAACGCCUUGGGAGUCAAACGUUUCAGCUCCCGAACAAUCAAAAACCAGAAGUGAUUGUUCCAGUUUUCAAACGUUCUCAGGAACCCGGACGUCCAACAUGACAUCCACAGCUUCUGAUUGGCUGCAGGAGCUUCCUGCAGCCAAUCGGAAGCUGAGCCUUGGUUUCCAAACGUUUUGGAAGUCGAAUGGCCUUCUGGAACAGAUUCUGUUUGACUUCCGAGGUACCACUGUAUUGUUACAACUGUGUUUGCCAAACUUGGGUCCUCCAGCUGUUUUUCGACCACAACUCCCAUCAUCCCUAGCUGGCAGGACUCGUGGUCAGGAACGAUGAGAAUUGUAGUUCAGAAACAGCAGGAGACCCAAGUUUGGGAAACAUUUGAGUUACCGGUAAAUCAAUAACCACUUUCAGUGUUUACAGAUCCCAUUGACUUUAGCAGUGGGGCGUAGCUCCGUGGUAGAACACCUGCUUUGCAUGCAGAAGGCCCCAGCAUCUCAGGUAGACCUGGGAGAGAAUCCUUGCCUGAAACCCUGUGUUGUAAACAAAAACUGCCCUUUUCCCUUAUGGGGUAUCCAAGAGCCCAUAUAGAGUCCUUACAUAGGUUCCCUAUUGGUAGGAGAGAAUAACAGAGGCCAACCAGAGAAUAUUGAGAAGCAAAGCAGCUAGUAAGCUUGAUCUUUAUUGAUCUGUUGCAACAGGGUGCUCCCCUCACCCACAGGAGAGACCCAGAAAAAUGGUGUGCAAGGCCUUAUAAAGACUUUUGAAAUUGCCACCCUGUAGAUCAAGACCACCCCCAGAAACAUCAUACAUACAUCACAGAAGGGAUGUAACCUAAGACCACCCCUCAGAUACAUCAUACCUACAUCACAAAAAAGGCGGUCUAAAACAGAAAUUUUAAUGUUGUUUUUCUCCUGUCGUUGUUUAUCUCCUGUCUGGUAGGUUACUUGAUUGGAUUGCCUGGGGAGCCUGGCCAGUCUUUUGUAGUGAUAAAUACUUAGUUCCUGGGCCAGGUCAUAGGCUCACACCCUAUUCAAACACAGACAUACCCUUAAGACAGGAUUUGUGAAGGAAAAGACAAUGGGGAGGCUUUUCCAUUUUGACCUUGCAGAGAAAAGAUUUGGUCAGUUUAGGAAUCAAAAUGGUUCCAGGUUGGCCUUCCUGUGCUGAUCUAUGUAUGUGCUUGGUUGGUACACUUAGGAACAAUACCAUAUAUCUAAGACCAUAAAAUUCCUAUCACACCUGGAGAGCUGCUGCCAGUCAGUGCAGUCGAUACUAAGCCAGAUGGACCAGGGAUCUGACAGGAUAAGGCAGCUUCUCCUGUUUCUGCUUAAUUCAGCCCUUUCUUGUGAAUCAUGAGGAAUAGAAUCUCACUCUCUUUUGAAGCGUUCCCAAAGUAAAGGAAGGAUUGAACUCUGAUUAAUAAGAAUACACACAGAGGCUUGAACCAGCAAGACUCUGGGAAGGGUGCAUCUAAUAAUCUCUGGCUCUACCCCUCGGCCCAGGUCAUUUUAUUCACAAAAGAACUUUUUACAGAGUGUUCAUAAGAACCAAUCCGAUUUCUUCUGAGCAUUUCAACAGACCCCACGUGGGGACAAAGUUAAACUACCAAAACGAAUUAAGCACACAUAUUUCUGGGGUAAACAAAACAGAACUACAAAGGAGUACAUUGGGCAACCCCUGAGGUCAUAAACAAGCAAUAUACAUGAUAAGAAGGAUGGCCAGGGAGACAGUGAUCAUUAUCACCUUCAGGUGAGAUCUGUUUCCUGGCCCUAAGAUUAACAUCCUAAGAUUAACAUAUCAGAAAAGCUACAUCAAAGAAACUGCCCACUGUCUUUUAUGACCCAGGAUGCCUGCCUGGCAAAGACUGGCCAUGUACGUGACUGGUCAAGAAAGAGAAAUGGAACAGGGAUGCGGAGGUGUGGAUUGAUCAAGAAUCAUAUCAAAAUAGUUCAAACCCAGUCAACCCAAUGCUUUCAUUGCUGACACUGAUGGCUUACUCUAUAUUUGUUAUAAUUCCUCAUAGCAAUCCCACCUGAUCACUACAUCUUUUUUUGCCAGCUUCCUGCGUUUCGUGCAGUUUGGUGACCUUGUGUUUGUGUAAAGACCCCU
ensembl:lncRNA